UUAAAGUCACUUUGAUGUCAUUGGAGAAG
rnacentral:piRNA from 1 species